GCUCCGGAAAUCACGUGAUGCUGAAGGCUCCAGCUUCUUAAAGCAACAGCUCUCGCUAGUUUGCGAAGCAGGUGUGUAUGGUUUGGCAUGCAUUGAAUAAACAUGUCCUCUAAUCCCAGCUACUCAGGAGGCUGAGGCAGGAAGACCGCAAGUGCAAGACUGAAGCGAACCUCAGCAGCUUGGUGAGCCCCUGUCUCAAAACAAAAAAUAGAGGUGUAGGGAUGUAGUUCAGUGGUAGGACUGAAAUACAUUGGACUGGGUCCAAUCCCCAGUACCAAAAAACAAAAAAAUUCUUGUGGAAAAGCAUUUCCAUUCCCUUGAUUUUUGUCUGCUCCCCAGUUUACGACCACUUUCAAUUUCGCGACUAUAGGAAAAAGCUUCAGACUUUGGUGUCUGGCUUAAUUUUCCUGCUCAACCUCCCUCUCCAACAUCACCUAACCUGCCUCUUCCGCUUCCUGAAAGGAUCCAACAUACGCCCUGACACACAACAGGAGCUUUUAAAGUGUUUGCAGACUAAAGGAAAAGUCCAAUCUCGACUGAGAGAAGUCUCAUUAUCCAACUUUGCAGAGGACGCCUUGGGAAGGAAGCAACUGGCUGCCUGGGGCCUGGGAGGGUGAGAGGGCUUCCCAGAGUGGGUUGCACGGCCUUACACGAUGAGUAGGAAUUAGGUAGAGAGUUGUUGGCUUGGGGCACUGUGUGCGCAAAGACCUUACAGCGCGAUGGGAGCAAACUUACUUUCCGGUGCAGGUUCCCUCCACCUCGGUGAAAAGCUUCUGCUUCACGGUAUUGAGCAAGUUGGGGCCGAAGUAGCGCGGGUGCAGCAGGAUCUCGUGCUCCAGGGAGAUCUGCAGUGAAAGGAGAAUGGAGACCCGGCCAGGAGCAGAGAGGGCAAGAGGCGAGAAGAGGCGCCCAGCCUCGCUGCACCUCGAGACCCAACCCUCGUCGCCACCCGGCGCCUACUCACGUGAUAGAACAUCUUUGCUGAGGAAGUUGGACUGAGGCGUCCACACCUGGGACAACAACUUAUCUGUCUCCUCCGGAAGCGCACGCUACAACCACAACCUCGCUUCCGGGUCCCUGCGCCGAUCUGAUUGGACCUCGCUGUAGAGGGCGGGGACUCGUUAAGCUCUGUCCCUGAAGCGCCGCCCCACGGCGGGCUGUCAAAACUCAGAUCCCUGUAAAGUAGCCUGUAGUAGAUGCUCAGUAAAUACUUUUCCCCCCAUAUUUUUAUUGGUGCAUUAUAAUGGUGGGAUUCGUUGUUACAUAUGCGUAAAUGCUCAGUAAACACUUUUAAUAAGCUU